UCUCAAACCUGUUGUGCUUGUUGAUACAUGAUCCACUGAACAAAUGCUAAGUAGGUGUGUGUGGCUGCAUGUAUGAGUGUGUGAGCUUAGAUAAGCCACAUGCAAUCACUUGUCCCACCACCAAACUUGCAACAUGUCCGAGUUGGACCUCCCAGCAGCUGCUGAUACUACUCACAUUCUGUGACGAAGUGUUUAGUUGUGUCAGUUAAACCAUCACAAACACUAAGCACACAACACUUCAUGACCAGCACACAUGCGAUGGCCAGGAAUCAAACCCGGGUCAACUGCUUGGAAGGCAGCUAUGCUCACCACUAUACCACCAUCGCUAUGAAAUGGACUGUUUUUGUGUGCUCUCAGGAGUUCAAACGGAUAAGAGAAGUAGGUGCAGAGAAAAGGGAGGAAAUGAGCAUCAGCCAGAAGCCCUGAUCUCUGUCACGACACACAACAUCUUAGUAUUUUCUACAGCAAAACAACCUGAUGAAAAUGAAACUAAAUCUUGAAUCAUUCUUGAAACAACUUUCACAAAAUGGGAAAGUGAUAUUGAUGAGCCUAUUGAUUCCACAUUCUCAUGGUCUGCAGUCUUUUUUUAUAACUUUCUUUUCAGACUUUGGCUAGAGUCAUUUUGUUGUUUAUAGCCUGUAUUAUAUUUUGAACUGCUGGUAUUGAUUUCAGAUUGUCCUUUGGUGCACUGCAAUUAUACAGGGCAAACUAACUUUAUUUUGUUCUGUUGUUGUGUUAUAACUUAGUAUUGUGUUUGAUGAUCUCUGUCAGAUGAGAAGAUGAGGUGGAGGACAGUGGAGGAAGUUCCAUGGUGUAAUGGUCAUCACUCUGGGCUCUGGAUCCUGGUGUCCCUGGACUUAAUGGAGAUGAUAGGGGAUGAAAAGUUGUGUGCAUUUUUCUGACCACCAAGCCUGUCCUCCAGUACCCACCAACUUUAACCUCCACCAACAGUGCAUGUAUGAGGCCCCAGCUUCAGACUCUGACAUCUCCAUCAGUGUACUUCUUCAAGAAUUUAAACCCACCAGGACUAUCCACAUUACAUUUAACUCUGUAAAUAAACAUUUUCCAGCCUGUUCAAUGUUAUAAAUGUUCUGUUUGGCCGUUAAAGGAGGUUUUCCUCACAUUUUGGUGUAUUUUAACCCUUCCAUGGUCUAAAUUCUUUGAACAGAUCUUGUGCUGUAAUCAAUGUCUAACUGAGUUUUUAUUUUCAUUGCAGUGGUUGAUUUUUCCAGAGCAAGAUCAAUGAUUUUUUAAUACAUCUUUCUCCAGUUUUAUUUGCUCUACCUGUGGGUUUCAACUAUUAUAACUUUUUUCAUUUAAUAAAUGACUAAUAACACA